rnacentral:rRNA from 1 species
GGGCCCGCACAAGCGGUGGAGCAUGUGGUUUAAUUCGAUGAUACGCGAGGAACCUUACCAGGGCUUAAAUGUAGUUUGACCGGUCUGGAAACAGACUUUCUCUUCGGAGCAGAUUACAAGGUGCUGCAUGGUUGUCGUCAGCUCGUGCCGUGAGGUGUUAGGUUAAGUCCUGCAACGAGCGCAACCCCUAUUCUUAGUUGCCAGCGGUUCGGCCGGGGACUCUAAGAAGACUGCCAGCGCAAGCUGAGAGGAAGGUGGGGAUGACGUCAAAUCAUCACGGCCCUUACGUCCUGGGCUACACACGUGCUACAAUGGUAGAGACAGAGGGCAGCCACCUGGUGACAGGGAGCGAAUCCUUAAACUCUAUCUCAGUUCGGAUCGAAGUCUGCAACUCGACUUCGUGAAGCUGGAAUCGCUAGUAAUCGCGCAUC